rnacentral:rRNA from 1 species
GACGAACGCUGGCGGCGUGCCUAAUACAUGCAAGUUGAGCGAUGAAGAUUGGUGCUUGCACCAAUUUGAAGAGCAGCGAACGGGUGAGUAACGCGUGGGGAAUCUGCCUUUGAGCGGGGGACAACAUUUGGAAACGAAUGCUAAUACCGCAUAACAACUUUAAACAUAAGUUUUAAGUUUGAAAGAUGCAAUUGCAUCACUCAAAGAUGAUCCCGCGUUGUAUUAGCUAGUUGGUGAGGUAAAGGCUCUCCAAGGCGAUGAUACAUAGCCGACCUGAGAGGGUGAUCGGCCACAUUGGGACUGAGACACGGCCCAAACUCCUACGGGAGGCAGCAGUAGGGAAUCUUCGGCAAUGGACGAAAGUCUGACCGAGCAACGCCGCGUGAGUGAAGAAGGUUUUCGGAUCGUAAAACUCUGUUGGUAGAGAAGAACGUUGGUGAGAGUGGAAAGCUCAUCAAGUGACGGUAACUACCCAGAAAGGGACGGCUAACUACGUG